rnacentral:rRNA from 1 species
GACGGGGGGGGCAAGUGUUCUUCGGAAUGACUGGGCGUAAAGGGCACGCAGGCGGUGAAUCGGGUUGAAAGUGAAAGUCGCCAAAAAGUGGCGGAAUGCUCUCGAAACCAAUUCACUUGAGUGAGACAGAGGAGAGUGGAAUUUCGUGUGUAGGGGUGAAAUCCGUAAAUAUACGAAGGAACGCCAAAAGCGAAGGCAGCUCUCUGGGUCCCUACCGACGCUGGGGUGCGAAAGCAUGGGGAGCGAACAGG